GUGUUUUAAUUGUAUGAUCUUUUGCAUGUUUUACAUCUUGAGCAUCCUAGUCCAUCAUCCUCCUGUGGUUCACAUCCGGUACAUGGUCUGUCAUUAGCGUAGUCGGUAAUAGGACAGAGUGGCGGUCUGUUACAUCCCAAUCCUAAAACGUAAAGUUAUAAAUCAAAUACCGAAAUUGUGAAUGCAACGUUAAAUGUUGUAUUUUGAUUUUUGACUAACAUUGAUAUUCAAUUUCCUAUCAUCAAAAGUCGUACACAAUUUUAACUAAUAAUUUAUUCCAAUAUGUGCUGCAAUUUUCAUUUUGCCUGUAUGGGACAUUAUUUUUA
rnacentral:lncRNA from 1 species